rnacentral:lncRNA from 1 species
ACGGCCUGAAUUAUUCUGUGAUCCCUGCAGAAAGCACCCUGGGAUCUGUCAUUACAGAUUCAAAAUGACCAUUAAAGCCAUCUGCCCCAGGCCUGACCCUGUUUUCUUUCUGCUCCCACACAGACCAGAGAAGACUUUCCAAGUAUUCAUUUUUCAAUGUUUUGUCUGUCCACACUAUAAUGUGAGUCCCUAGGGAAUGGUCCACUUCAGCCUUAUUCCACGAUUCUCUGGAAGAGUCAUACAUGAGGCACAGAGGAAGUUUUCAGAGUGGGCAGAGCCUGUCAAGGUAGAUGAAGUGCAUUCUGCCUUUGCAAGGUACCAGCUGACUGUAUCAUUAACAGCAAUGGUAAUAAAAAAUGCAGC